rnacentral:rRNA from 1 species
ACGUACACUCCUGCGGGAGGCAGCAGUGGGGAAUAUUGGACAAUGGGCGCAAGCCUGAUCCAGCCAUGCCGCGUGAGUGAUGAAGGCCCUAGGGUUGUAAAGCUCUUUCACCGGUGAAGAUAAUGACGGUAACCGGAGAAGAAGCCCCGGCUAACUUCGUGCCAGCAGCCGCGGUAAUACGAAGGGGGCUAGCGUUGUUCGGAUUUACUGGGCGUAAAGCGCACGUAGGCGGACUAUUAAGUCAGGGGUGAAAUCCCGGGGCUCAACCCCGGAACUGCCUUUGAUACUGGUAGUCUUGAGUUCGGGAGAGGUGAGUGGAAUUCCGAGUGUAGAGGUGAAAUUCGUAGAUAUUCGGAGGAACACCAGUGGCGAAGGCGGCUCACUGGCUCGAUACUGACGCUGAGGUGCGAAAGCGUGGGGAGCAAACAGGAUUAGAAACCCCGGUAGUCCCA